UACGGAGGGAGCUAGCGUUGUUCGGAAUUACUGGGCGUAAAGCGCACGUAGGCGGCUUUGUAAGUUAGAGGUGAAAGCCCGGGGCUCAACCCCGGAAUUGCCUUUAAGACUGCAUCGCUUGAAUCCAGGAGAGGUGAGUGGAAUUCCGAGUGUAGAGGUGAAAUUCGUAGAUAUUGGGAAGAACACCGGUGGCGAAGGCGGCGAGCUGGUCCAUUACUGACGCUGAGGCGCGACAGCGUGGGGAGCAAACAGG
rnacentral:rRNA from 1 species